UCCCGUGCUGCAGUUUCAUUUUGUGACCGACACUAACGGGUAAUGGCUGGCCGCAGGACUACUCGUUUUUGCGAUCACAAUACUGAAAUUGCAGCAA
rnacentral:pre_miRNA from 15 species